UGGGUAACCUGCCCUUAACUCUGGGAUAAGCCUGGGAAACUGGGUCUAAUACCGGAUAUGACUCCUCAUCGCAUGGUGGGGGGUGGAAAGCUUUAUUGUGGUUUUGGAUGGACUCGCGGCCUAUCAGCUUGUUGGUGAGGUAAUGGCUCACCAAGGCGACGACGGGUAGCCGGCCUGAGAGGGUGACCGGCCACACUGGGACUGAGACACGGCCCAGACUCCUACGGGAGGCAG
rnacentral:rRNA from 1 species